UGUGAACGUUACCAAACUGUUGCCUCGGCGGGGUCACGCCCCGGGUGCGUCGCAGCCCCGGAACCAGGCGCCCGCCGGAGGAACCAACCAAACUCUUUCUGUAGUCCCCUCGCGGACGUAUUUCUUUACAGCUCUGAGCAAAAAUUCAAAAUGAAUCAAAACUUUCAACAACGGAUCUCUUGGUUCUGGCAUCGAUGAAGAACGCAGCGAAAUGCGAUAAGUAAUGUGAAUUGCAGAAUUCAGUGAAUCAUCGAAUCUUUGAACGCACAUUGCGCCCGCCAGUAUUCUGGCGGGCAUGCCUGUCCGAGCGUCAUUUCAACCCUCGAACCCCUCCGGGGGAUCGGCGUUGGGGAUCGGGACCCCUCACACGGGUGCCGGCCCCUAAAUACAGUGGCGGUCUCGCCGCAGCCUCUCCUGCGCAGUAGUUUGCACAACUCGCACCGGGAGCGCGGCGCGUCCACGUCCGUAAAACACCCAACUUUCUGAAAUGUUGACCUCGGAUCAGGUAGGAAUACCCGCUGAACUUAAGCAUAUCAAUAAGCGGAGGAA
rnacentral:rRNA from 1 species